rnacentral:rRNA from 1 species
CUACGCACUCCUACGGGAGGCAGCAGUGGGGAAUAUUGCACAAUGGGCGCAAGCCUGAUGCAGCCAUGCCGCGUGUAUGAAGAAGGCCUUCGGGUUGUAAAGUACUUUCAGCAGUGAGGAAGGUGGAUAUGUUAAUAGCAUAUUCAUUUGACGUUAGCUGCAGAAGAAGCACCGGCUAACUCCCGUGCCAGCAGCCGCGGUAAUACGGAGGGUGCGAGCGUUAAUCGGAAUUACUGGGCGUAAAGCGCAUGCAGGUGGUUUGUUAAGUCAGAUGUGAAAGCCCGGGGCUCAACCUCGGAAUUGCAUUUGAAACUGGCAAACUAGAGUACUGUAGAGGGGGUAGAAUUUCAGGUGUAGCGGUGAAAUGCGUAGAGAUCUGAAGGAAUACCGGUGGCGAAGGCGGCCCCCUGGACAGAUACUGACACUCAGAUGCGAAAGCGUGGGGAGCAAACAGGAUUAGAUACCCUGGUAG